AUGCUUCCAGGAGUUGAAUGUGCUAGAAAGAGACGGUUGCAUCAAAGCAGAGUAAGAGAAGGAGGACGUGGUGAUCCCACAACAACACGUUCAUUCUGUUUAUAUACCAGAAACGUUCAAUCUACUUCUUCUCCUUCAAUACUCUCUUUAUUGGAAAGAAGCAUGUUAAAGCAGAAACAGUCAUUGAUUGAUGAGAAACUGGGAGGAUCAGCCAGAGAAGCCAAACGGAGACUAGAUGAGAAGCUUACAGCAGGUUGA